rnacentral:snRNA from 1 species
GGCCUCUUAAAGAAUGUAUAUAAAAAUUGGAAUGAUACACAGAUUAGCAUGGCUGCGGUGCAAGGAUGACAUGCAGGUUUGUGAAGUGUUCCAUAUUAAA